CCUGUGGGCAAUCAUCCCCAAUCAGUUCUAUUCAGUAAUACACAGUAAUGAUAGUUCACCCCCACAUUGAUUUGUAGUAGAGGAGAUUUGAUACAGCAAAUCUUCCACUUCAUGUGAAACAAAGGACAAAAGAUUUAUUAUUUACUGCUUCUUAACAGGUGAAAUCCAAAUUAUUAUGUUGAAAUGCACCAGAACAUGGUACAUGACCUAUCCACAUGGCCUGUUGUAUUAUAAGGGAAACAGCAUGUAACACACAUUACAAGGUAUUGUUAGAUGCAGACGAACAAACUGUUUCAAGGCCAGCCAAUUAUAUUAGCCUAAUUCAUUAGGACGUGGUACCUGAUCAUGUAUAUAAAGUUGUUUUCGAGUAAUUAAAAAUUUAGAUGCCAUUAGUUUCUUUGCAGAUGUGACUUUCUUUUUUGGUAUGUAUUAUUAAAGCCUAUCACUCGAAAAUUUCUUUUCUGAUUGACUGUCUGUCUAUUUGUCCACAGCACAUAUCAAGAAUAAAAGAAACUAACUAUUGAUUUGAAAUUUUGCAUGCAACCUCAGCGAAGCCUGUUACGUGACGCAUAGUGCAGCAUACUCCUACCUAGACCUUGUACUCGUAUAAAAGUACAUUCUAACUGAUGAGCUUGCUGACCACACAAUCAUUCCCCUAAACUACGUAUAUACAGAGUCUCUUCUAAAAAUGAAAUGAAAAGAGAUGCACUACAAGCACAAAAGAUGUUUUGUAACUACUGUGCUGUAUAAUGGUCUCAAGAUACUGAUAAUGAAGAAAGGGUAAUUAAUUGAAUUACCAGUGGUGUCAUUCAGCACUGCCAUAACUUCAAUGUGUGUGUCCCCUCGCCUCUCCAGCGCCUCUCGCAGCAGUUGCACAGCAUCCUCUCCUUCUACUCCUGACGCCUUAAAUGACUUAGUCCACGUCACUAGCAGGCCCGACGACAGGCUGCGCUGGUGCAUGGGGAAUGAAAAUGUAAAACCUUCAACAAAGAUCAAGACAAUUAGUAACAAAAUAAAAAACAGAAAAUUACAGGAAAGGGAGAGCUGAGACAAUUCCUGAUCCUCACACCACCUGCUCCCUGUCUUCAAGAAAACUGCUGAACCAAUCAAACACAACACCUUGAACACUAACUUUAAAAAAUAUAUUGUGGUUUAUUAGAUCGAAGACUUUUUUGUAAUCUAUGAAAAGUGGAGAAACUUUUCUGGAGUGGUUAAAGCUAUUAUAUAUGUUAUUUGUAAAUAUAUAAUAGUAAUAGUGCGUUUUCUGUCAAUUUCCCCUUUUGAAAGCCAAAAGUUUUCUCAUUCCAACUGAAACUGAGUUCUCACAUAGUUUUUGUUGUUGUUGCUAUCUUACAAACCACUGUGGCACUCAAUAUUUCAUGUGUUUUGUAUACCAUUUAAGAAUUGAAAAUGUCAAAUACAAUAUUGUUAUGUGAAUAUUGAUUCCACAUGCUGCACACACAAAGUCAUAGAUUCUAGAUGCUGCACUAAGAGGAAGAUAACUGGAGCUAAACUCAAGAUUCACAUUCAAUCGACCCUUCCCACCAUAGUUACGUUAUAUGAAUACUGUUAUGGUUUUACAUCUUUCUUAUAAAAAUAAAAUUUACAAAAAAUGAAUGUGAAUAUAGCAUAUAUACCCAGCAAUUAAAUAGAAUAAAGUGUUGUCCCAAACACAAAGUGCAUAAUUUAAAAAUGAUCAUGUACCCGUAUUUCAGGACUUAACUAAAACUAUCUGAAUAAGCUAGCCAUUUGAUGUAAUGACUUUUUUUUAGUAUAAAUACACAAGUAAAC
rnacentral:lncRNA from 1 species